CCUACGGGUGGCAGCAGUGGGGAAUAUUGCGCAAUGGUGGCAACCCUGAUGCAGCAACGCCGCGUUAUUGAAGAAGGCCUUCGGGUUGUAAAGAUCUUUAAUCGGGGACGAAUUUUGACGGUACCCGAAGAAUAAGCUCCGGCGAACUACGUGCCAGCAGCCGAGGUAAUACGUAGGGAGCAAGCGUUAUACGGAUGUACUGGGGGUAAAGGGCGUGUAGGCGGGCAUGCAAGCCAGAAGUGAAAUCUGGGGGCUUAACCCCCAAACUGCUUGUGAAACUGCGUGUCUUGAGUGAUGGAGAGGCAGGCGGAAUUCCUAGUGUAGCGGUGAAAUGCGUAGAGAUUGGGAGGAACACCAGUGGCGAAGGCGGCCUGCUGGACAUUAACUGACGCUGAGGCGCGAAAGCGUGGGGAGCAAACAGGAUUAGAGACCCUUGUAGUC
rnacentral:rRNA from 1 species